AUGGAGAAGGCGCUCGUCGAGCGGCUCGAGGCCGCGGUGGCGCGCCUCGAGGCCGCCGCCGCGUCGGGGGCCUCGGCCGCGCGCGACUUCGGGGGCGCCUCCGCGUCGUCGGAUCCGGCGAUCCUGGCCUACGACGACUUCCUCGCCGACGCCUUCGCCCGCCUCAACGCCGCGGCCGAGAAGAUCGGCGGGACGGUGCUCGAGGCCACCAACGUGCUCGCCGAGGCCUUCGCCGUCGCCAAGGACCUCCUCAUCCUGGCCAAGCAAUACCCGAAACCUGCAUCAAUGGCUAAAGCGCAGGAUUUCCUCAAGCCUCUAAACGAUACUAUUGCGAAAGCAACCGCUAUGACGGAAGGAAGGAGGCCCGACUAUUUCAAUCACAUGAAGAGUGUUGCUGACAGUCUCCAUGCCCUGGCUUGGGUUGCGUUCUUAGGGAAAGGCUGCGGCAUGAGUUUCCCAACAGCACAUGUUGAAGAAAGCUGGCAGAUGGCCGAGUUCUACAAUAACAAGGUUCUUGUUGAGUACAAGAACAAAGAUGCUGACCACGUUGAGUGGGCUAAAGCUUUGAAGGAGCUCUACACACCUGGCUUGAGGGAUUAUAUUAAGAAAUAUUAUCCUCUUGGGCCUGUGUGGGGUCCUGCUGGAUGUGCACCACCAAAGGCUGCUGCCCCAGCGGCUAAGGGUCCUCCUCCACCUGCUGCACCAUCAGCUCCUCUUUUUAGCACAGACAAAUCUCCAAAAUCUUCGCAGCCUAAGCAAGGAAUGUCAGCUGUGUUUCAAGAGAUCGGUGGGGGCAAAGAUGUGACUUCAGGGCUGCGGAAGGUUACUGAUGACAUGAAGGCUAAAAACCGUGCUGAUAGAAGUGGUGUUGUGACCAGUAGUGCUGCUGCCCCUGCUCCUGCGAAGACUUCUCGUGCAGGAACCUUUGGCUCCAAGACUGGAACCCCAAAACUGGAGCUUCAGAUGGGUCGCAAAUGGGUGGUCGAAAAUCAAGUUGGUAGAAAGGACCUUGCUAUUGAUGAGUGUGAUUCUAAACAGUCUAUCUAUGUGUUUGGAUGCAAGGAUUCCGUCCUUCAAGUAAAUGGUAAAGUAAACAAUAUCACCGUCGACAAAUGCACCAAAUUUGGAAUUGUUUUCAAGGAUGUCGUAGCAGCUUUUGAGGUUGUCAACUGCAACGGCGUUGAGGUGCAAUGUCAGGGCACCGCACCGACAAUAUCAAUCGACAACACAGCUGGGUGUCAGUUAUACUUGAACAAAGAAUCACUGGCCGCUUCCAUUACUUCGGCUAAAUCCAGUGAAAUGAAUGUAUUGGUUCCUAGCGACGAGACUGAUGGCGACUGGGUGGAGCAUCCUUUGCCGCAGCAGUACAUCCAUUUUUUCCAGGACGGGCAGUUCACCACAUCCCCAGUUUCUCAUUCCGGCGCAUAA
rnacentral:rRNA from 1 species